rnacentral:rRNA from 1 species
UACGUAGGGUGCAAGCGUUGUCCGGAAUUAUUGGGCGUAAAGAGCUCGUAGGCGGUCUGUCGCGUCUGCUGUGAAAACUCGGAGCUCAACUCCGAGCCUGCGUUCGAGACUGGAUGGCUAGAGUCUGGUAGGGGGAUCUGGAAUUCCUGGUGUAGCGGUGGAAUGCGCAGAUAUCAGGAGGAACACCGGUGGCGAAGGCGGGAUCCUGGGCCAGUACUGACGCUGAGGAGCGAAAGCGUGGGGAGCAAACAGG